GACGAACGCUGGCGGCGUGCCUAAUACAUGCAAGUAGAACGCUGAAGGAGGAGCUUGCUUCUCCGGAUGAGUUGCGAACGGGUGAGUAACGCGUAGGUAACCUGCCUGGUAGCGGGGGAUAACUAUUGGAAACGAUAGCUAAUACCGCAUAACAGUAGAUAUCGCAUGAUAUCUGCUUGAAAGUUGCAAUUGCAUCACUACCAGAUGGACCUGCGUUGUAUUAGCUAGUUGGUGAGGUAACGGCUCACCAAGGCGACGAUACAUAGCCGACCUGAGAGGGUGAUCGGCCACACUGGGACUGAGACACGGCCCAGACUCCUACGGGAGGCAGCAGUAGGGAAUCUUCGGCAAUGGACGGAAGUCUGACCGAGCAACGCCGCGUGAGUGAAGAAGGUUUUCGGAUCGUAAAGCUCUGUUGUAAGAGAAGAACGAGUGUGAGAGUGGAAAGUUCACACUGUGACGGUAUCUUACCAGAAAGGGACGGCUAACUACGU
rnacentral:rRNA from 1 species